UAAGACGAAGGGUGCUAGCGUUGUUCGGAAUGACUGGGCGUAAAGGGCGCGUAGGCGGUCUUUUAAGUUAGGCGUGAAAGCCCCCGGGCUUAACCCCGGGACGUGCGCUUAAGACUGAAAGGCUUGAGUAUGGAAGAGGUAAGUGGAAUUCCUAGUGUAGAGGUGAAAUUCGUAGAUAUUAGGAAGAACACCAGUGGCGAAGGCGGCUUACUGGUCCAUUACUGACGCUGAGGCGCGAAAGUGUGGGGAGCAAACAGGAUUAGAUACCCCUGGUAGUCCACACUGUAAACGAUGAGUGCUAGACGUCGGGUAGUAAUAUUCGGUGUCGCAGUUAACGCAUUAAGCACUCCGCCUGGGGAGUACGGUCGCAAGAUUAAAACUCAAAGGAAUUGACGGGGGCCCACACAAGCGGUGGAGCAUGUGGUUUAAUUCGAAGCAACGCGAAAAAACCCUUACCCAGGCCUUGACAUGGUGAUUAUGGGUUUCAGAGAUGAGACCUGUCGGUUCGGCCGGAUCACACACAGGUG
rnacentral:rRNA from 1 species